rnacentral:rRNA from 1 species
ACAACUUUCAACAACGGAUCUCUUGGCUCUCGCAUCGAUGAAGAACGCAGCGAAAUGCGAUAAGUAAUGUGAAUUGCAGAAUUCAGUGAAUCAUCGAAUCUUUGAACGCACCUUGCGCCCCUUGGUAUUCCGAGGGGCAUGCCUGUU